rnacentral:rRNA from 1 species
GUGGGGAAUCUUGGACAAUGGGGGCAACCCUGAUCCAGCGACGCCGCGUGGGUGAAGAAGGCCUUCGGGUUGUAAAGCCCUUUCGGCCGGGACAAAAAUGACGGAGCGAAUACCUCCGUCCUUGAUGGUACCGGAAGAAGAAGCACCGGCUAACUCUGUGCCAGCAGCCGCGGUAAUACAGAGGGUGCAAGCGUUAAUCGGAAUUACUGGGCGUAAAGCGUGCGUAGGUGGCCUUAUAAGUCAGGUGUGAAAUCCCUGGGCUCAACCUGGGAACUGCACUUGAUACUGUUUGGCUAGAGUGUGGUAGAGGGUGGCGGAAUUCCGCAUGUAGCGGUGAAAUGCGUAGAUAUGCGGAGGAACACCAGUGGCGAAGGCGGCCACCUGGACCAACACUGACACUGAGGCACGAAAGCGUGGGGAGCAAACAGGAUUAGAUACCCGAGUAGUCC